UAGGGAAUCUUCCACAAUGGACGCAAGUCUGAUGGAGCAACGCCGCGUGAGUGAAGAAGGUCUUCGGAUCGUAAAGCUCUGUUGUUGGUGAAGAAGGAUAGAGGCAGUAACUGGUCUUUAUUUGACGGUAAUCAACCAGAAAGUCACGGCUAACUACGUGCCAGCAGCCGCGGUAAUACGUAGGUGGCAAGCGUUGUCCGGAUUUAUUGGGCGUAAAGC
rnacentral:rRNA from 1 species